ensembl:misc_RNA 7SK 7SK RNA
GGAUGUGAGGGCGAUCUGGCUGCAACAUCUGUCACCCCGUUGAUCGCCAGGGUUGAUUUGGCUGAUCUGGCUGGCUAGGCGGGUGUCCCCUUCCUCCCUCACCACUCCAUGUGUGUCCCUCCCGAAGCUGCCCGCUCGGUGGAAGGGGAUGACUUUACCCGACAGAGGAGAGGACCAUUCUUCCGUCAAGGGUAUACGAUUAGCUGCGCUCCCCUGCUAGAACCUCCAAACAAGCUCUCAAAGCAUUUCUUAGUGUUCUGACAGAUUGCUCGUAAACCUAUGAGGCAGGUACUAUUAUUAUCCCCACAUUUCAGAUGAAAGCUCUGAGGUGGAGAGAAGUUAGUUUG